CAUCGUGAGGUGAAAUCUGAAAGAAGCCGGAUGUGAGGAACAUACUAACCCAUGGGCAAAUCUCUGGUCUGACGGACAGAAAUCACAUAUGAGGUUAUGUACGGGGGUAAGGCUACAUACCAAGUCAAAGCCCAAUAACUACACGGAAUCGUGCAUGAUAAAUGUGGCAGAUAGAUGGAGAGAAGGAAA
rnacentral:ncRNA from 1 species